CCUAGUGACAAUAGCGGAGAGGAGAGGAAACACCCGUUCCCAUUCCGAACACGGAAGUUAAGCUCUCCAGCGCCGAUGGUAGUUGGGGCCAGCGCCCCUGCGAGAGUAGGUCGUUGCUAGGC
rnacentral:rRNA from 1 species